rnacentral:rRNA from 1 species
GACGAACGCUGGCGGCGUGCUUGACACAUGCAAGUCGAACGGAAAGGCCUGCUUUCCCUUGUGGAUUGCGGGUACUCGAGUGGCGAACGGGUGAGUAACACGUGAGUGAUCUGCCCCCAACUUGGGUAUAAGCCUGGGAAACUGGGUCUAAUUCCCGAUAGGACUGCAGGGUGGUGCCUGUGGUGGAAAACGAUUUUCUAGUGGUUGGGGAUGAGCUCGCGGCCUAUCAGCUUGUUGGUGGGGUAAUGGCCUACCAAGGCGGCGACGGGUAGCCGGCCUGAGAGGGUGGACGGCCACAUUGGGACUGAGAUACGGCCCAGACUCCUACGGGAGGCAGCAGUGGGGAAUAUUGCACAAUGGGCGGAAGCCUGAUGCAGCGACGCCGCGUGGGGGAUGACGGCCUUCGGGUUGUAAACUCCUUUCGACCGAGAGGAAGCCACCUGGUUGGAAGGGUGGUGACGGUAGUGGUAGAAGAAGCACCGGCUAACUACGUG